GCCAGUGUGGCUCAGUUGGUAGAGCAUGGUGUGUGCAAUGCCAGGGUUGUGGGUUCGAUUCCCACGGGGGGCC
rnacentral:tRNA from 1 species